AGGAGAUGCAAAAUAAUUCUUAAAUAUUCAGGAAGGCUCUUACACUUGCAAUAAGUUAUAUAUUUACUAUAUUACCAUAACAUCAUGUAAUGUUCCCUCUACGUAAUGGUGGACAGAAAUGCCAGCUAAUUUUACCUCUUCCUUAGGUAGGUUAAAGAGGUAUCUUUGGCAAAGGGGCUCAUGAGUCCCGAGUGCUAGAAAGCUCUAAGGUUAGAAGGAAGAACUUUAAGGAUGUCGAUGAAGAACAUUUAGAUUGUGCAGAAGGAAGCUCUACUUCCAAGCUCAGGCCUGGGCUUCAGUUGGCACCACCUACAUGGAAAGCAUCCUUGGAGCCACACCAUGGUCAGAGGCUGGCUUCCUUGGGCUUGUCUCACUUGACCUAAGGAUAGUAUGUGCUUAUAUCUUGAAUGUCACAGUGUAGGGAAUUCAGCUUGGGAGUCUUGGUGUUCUUUUCAGUCAGUAACAACUGACUGUUAUUUGUUGUUGUUGUCCUUGUUAUUGGAACAAAGACAUCAAAUUGUCUACAGAAAUAGGGUGAAAUAGGGUGUGGUGAGGAAUGGAUGUAGCGCAGCUUAUGGUUCAGGCAGAGCUGGCUUCUGCUUCAGCUCUUACAUACUGAUGCUAAAAGGAAUUACAGGUAACAAUUCCCUUGUGUUCAUGGAAGAACAGUUUUUUUCCCCCCUAACAGAUUUUUAUGGCUUUAACUGACAUGUCAUCAUUGUGAACUGUCUUCCCACAUUACAUGCUAUGGCACAUUAACAGUGGCAUGGCAUUGUGGGUUCUUGGUGAUUGGCUUAUUGACUGAACUGGGGCCCUGCUGGCUGGUUGGAGAGCCUUGGGCAGUGCCCGUUGAUGCUGAGGGUUCAGGUUUCAUGUACCUUAAAACAUGGCAGAGGACUCCAGGUUGUCCCAGGGAGAGUUUCUAUAUCAGCAGGUGUGUUUUCUCUGAAACUUCAUCAAAGCUUGGGAAAGAAUAGGAAGUAUUAUGGUAUAGGGGAUUGACAAUCCCUAGCCUUCAAUAUCUUCAUGUUAACGGGUGUUGGCAUUUCGAUCAUGAACUAUCUUCAAGUUUUCUGAAACAAUUAGGGAGUUUCUGCAUGUAUGCACAGACUGUAAUAGGUGAACUCAUUUGGGGUGCAGGAAAAUGUACCACUUGGUAUUGGAUCCUCAAGCCAGCACAAGAGGCAAUGCACUGUUAAAAAUACCUAGCUUACUUCCGGGGAGGAUUUGGCUGAAUACUGAUGAAGUUUAUGAAAUAUGAAUGUAGUGAAGUUGCUGUACGUAAGUGGUAGGCGUGUGUGAAAGGAGUAAGAAGAAAUAAAAUUGUGUAUAAAUGACACUCUGAAACUUGAUGGAAUUGUACACGUGACAAGAAUGGCGACAUUUGGGUCUGUGCUUAACAGGGGGAAAGAAAGAGGCUCAAAAUCUAUAUGUCAGUCUACAAGUGGGAUUAAAAAUUAGAGAAUAUAAAAUCAUUUAUAGGCGAAGAAUGCUACCGAGGAUAAACAGACAGGUUGCAAAGAAUAAAGAUGAAAUUUCCAGAGAAGGGGAAAAAUGAUAGAGCAACAUUUGACUCUAUAAUGAGGUAUGGUAAUCACUGUAUUCCAGACUAUUAACUAUGGUGCUGUUAGUUGGGGAAGCAGUUAGAACCAAACAAAAGGCAUAACUAAGAAUUUGAGUUUGUGUGGGAGAAAUCCUUUUGAUCCCCCAAACGUGAAUGUAGAUGCCAAGACUCCAGGCUGCACGUGAUGUAAUUUUUCCUGUCUCGUCCUGAUUAAUUGACAGCCCACUGUAUGCUUCUUUCCUGAAGGUGACUUAACAAUCUCUAGACACAGACAUUUCCCUCCGAAGUGGAGUGAAGGAAGGAGAACCACAGCUAAAGUGUGUCUCACUGGGUGAAGUAUUUGGGGGAAAGAUAAGAGUGGUGUCAGGGGAAGGGAGUAGUGCACACAGAGAUUAAGAAGGCCUGUUUGGGGCUGGGGAGUGGGGGGCCCGUGGAUGAAGGCAGGGGAUCUCUAGAGGGUAAAGAGACUUCUGUGCAAAAGAAAAUGAAAUUAGCAUUGACUCUGAAAUGGCUGGGAAUGUGACUUUCUAAUUUUAAAUUAUCUUUAACAAGGGCAAUGAAAAGAGGAAAGUUGACACUUUUGAGAAGUUAUGACGAACUUGUCGAGAAUGCCAAUUGACAAAGGCAGGUAAGGGAAUACUUGGAAAAACAGCAAGAACAGGUUGAAGGGCACGCUGAUCUGCUUACUGGGAUGGUGAAGGAAUUGGUGGGCGUGUUUAUUGACUCUUCCAAUUAGUUUUCAAGAGACCUGAAGAAAUGGACACAGAUGGAGAAAAAGGCAACCAGAUGUGAUUCUGCCCUUCCAGAAGCAAAGAGGCUUAUGUCAACCCAUGUGAUCGAUGCCAGUCACGGCGAGGAGUGACUGUGGAAAUUAAUGGAUUUUCAACAUCCAAUCACAGAGGAAAUGUGUAUAUUUAGCAAGCCUAAAACCUCUUCAAUAAACUGCGUUGCUUUUCAUUUUCACUUUCCAGUUAUAAAACCAGUGGAAGAUGAAAAGCCCACGUGACAAUACAGCGUUCACUCCCGGGAACAUUUGUGUGACAGGGAUAUUAUAUCUGAAAGGACGGGGCAGCUGGGAGGGUGAACUGCCCAUAACUCUCAAUUGUCCAGGUGAGGAAGCACUGGGAAAGCAAAGGCAAAUGAAAUAAUUUGAUAAUAAAAAAUGAUUUCUCUGUUAGUGACCUGAUUACAUGACUGAUGCUGACAGGUGUGAAACUGCUGGUGUGGCUCUUGCCAUCUCUGGCACUCCUCACCUACCUCGGAGGAGCGUGGGGUUAGGGGAGUAGGAACCAGGGCAGUUUCUAUAGACCAGCCUGUUGACCCAGAAAUUGUCAAGUUUCUCAGUGGGAGGGACACAGCCAAAGAUUACUGAGGUUCUACAACUUUGUUAGGGCCCCACAGAGAGUCACUAGGAGAAUUGAUGGGUUCUUGAAUGUUCUAGAGGUUCCUUUUUCUUUCUUUCUUUCUUUUUUUUUGGGGGGGGGGUACCAGGGAUUGAACCCAAGGGUGCUUAACCACUGAACCACAUCAUCACCCCUUUGUAUUUUUUAUUUUGAGACAGGAUCUCGCUAAAUUGCUUAGGGCCUCACUAAGUUGCUGAGGCUGGCUUUUUGGUGCACUUGUUUCAGUCUCCUGAGCCACUGGGAUUAUAGGCGUGCACCACCAUGCCUGGCUAAAACCUGCUUUUUAAUCUGAGAUUGGGGGUAUAUGUUAGAUAUGUGAGGUUCACUCAUGGUAUUGCCACUGGUUCUAUUUUAUUGGACUACAGUGUGUUAGAGCCAGAAGGGGACCUAAGGACUCUCUAGCUCAUCCCUCCAUUUAAACCAAAGCUCACCGACAUCUAGUGGUAUGUAUAAAACCAUAGCAAGGGUAUGACAGGACUCCAGGUCUACUUUCUCAACUAAUCUUCCUCCCACUUGUGUGCUGUGCCAGGGUUCUCAGAAUUUCCUUUCCUCCAGGAAACCCCUUGAGGGUAUUAAGGUAUGUGUAGAAACUAAUCUGGAAUUAGGUAGCAGAUGUAUAUAUGAAAAUAAGUGAGAGUCAUUUUGGCUAUG
rnacentral:lncRNA from 1 species